AAAACAUAAAUAUCUAGAUAGAUAGACAUUUUUAUUUUAAAAACCAACCCAACAUCUCCAAAUAUACCUCUAGAUUCACACAAUUUUUAUUUUGUUGGUUGGUCUAAUAAAAGUUUGUAAGAUUAAGAAUGACGCUAUUUCUAAACUUAUAGGAAUUAUUACUCACAUUACAUUCUUUUUUUUGUUUUGCCAUUUUUGAUCACUUG
rnacentral:lncRNA from 1 species